rnacentral:miRNA from 1 species
AAAUGAACCACCUGGGGAUCUUGUUAAAAAUGCAGACUCUGUUACAGAAGCGAUGGGACUCUGCAUGUCUGACAGCCCCCAGGUGAUGCUGCU